AAAUGGUCAAUUUUCAGAAUGGAGAAAGGUAAAUAGUCGUGUCCCCCAGGGGUCUGUUCUGGGAUCAGUCUUAUUCAACAUGUUCAUAAAUGACAUGGAAAAAGGAGUAAACAAUGAGGUGGCAAAAUUUGCAGAUGAUACAAAAUAACUAAGUGGUAGCUAUGUUAGUCUGUAUCAGCAAAAACAACGAGGAGUACUUGUGGCACCUUAUAGACUAACAAAUUUAUUUGGACAUAAGCUUCAUGUGAUGAUGUGGGUUUUAGCCCACAAAAGCUUAUGCCCAAAUAAAUUUGUUAAUCUAUAAGGUGCCACAAGUAUUCCUCAUUGUUUUUACAAAAUUACUAAAGAUAGUUAAAACCCAGGCAGACUGCGAAGAGCUACAAAAGGAUCUCUCAAAACUGAGUGACUGGGCAACAAAAUGGCAAAUGAAGUUUAAUGUUGAUAAAUGUGAAGUAAUGCAUAUUGGAAAGCAUAAUCUCAACUAUACGUAUAAAAUGAUGGGGUCUAAAUUAGCUGUUACCACUCAAGAAAGAGAUCUUGGACUCGUGAAUAGUUCUCUUAAAACAUCCACUCAACGUGUAGCGCCAGUCAAAAAAGCGAACAGAAUGCUGGGAAUAAUUAAGCACAAGGAUCCACACAUGCACUCAAAAGAACAAGAAAUAAGCCCUGGUAUGAUCUCACGCUUCCAAUAUAGAUGCCAUGGCAGAGAGUCACUAACCUCCCUCUGAAGCCCUCAACUUUGGGCCUGGAAACCCAAAUUAUUCUGAAGAGCUCAAGGAGAGGCAGGAAUUUCAGGUGAUGUUACAGUGAUGACAACCAACCCUCCAGGUCCCUCCCUGCAGCCCAGCAAGUUCCCCCAUCCCUGUCCCUCAUAUAAAGCAGUUGAGACCACAGAGGAUGUAUUCUGUCAUAGGACAUACAAGGAGAUGAUGAUUGGCUGUUAGAGCAUUUGGAUUGCAGUAGUGUGGUACUGAGACAGCCUAUGGACUGCAUUGGCAACACCAGUAAAGACUUUUGAGGGAGAGGCCUGUAUUAGUGUGUCUGCGUUUCUGCUAACUAACCUUUGAUUUUUGUCCCUUACAUGUUUUGCAAGUGAGUCCCCACGGGGCAGAGUGCAGGGGGUAGAGAAGAAGAAAAGAAGAAAGAAAGUUUAAGUGUGCUAAAAAUAUUACUGAAGUUUGAUUUGCCUGGCGUUCUUUGUUGUUCUGGGGUUUGUGGGUUUGUGUGAAAGGCAGAGCCAGGUAACGCCUCCUCUGCUCUCAGACUUCUGCCAAAGGAUGGGUGGACAGGGCCAAAGCCCCUGUUGCCAGAUCCUGUAAUGUUAUUGCCAGUAACAUGAUUUUGGCCGCUGUUGCAAACAGGCUCAUUAUGACAAGAGAUUUCAUGGGAUUUUGAGACUGGUCUAGGGGAAAAAACCCUCUGACUAGCUGCCCUCACCAUUUCCUGAGGAAGAGUGGCUAAUCAGAGCUGCUGCAGGAGGCAGGCUGAGCUCUCUAUCCCUCCUCUCUUAAACUGAUAAAAGGUUUUGGUGGGAGAAGGAGAGAGGGAGCAGGGAUGCCAUUUUCACAAGAGGUAAGGGAGGGGAGAGCAGAAAAAGCCCAACAGCAGCUCCCAUUUCCCCCUGCCCUCUUAUGAAAAAUAGGUCUGCUCCUCCUAGGGUGACCAGAUGUCUCAAUUUUAUAGGGACAGUCCCAAUUUUUCAGUCUUUUUCUUAAAUAGGCUCCUAUCACCCCCCACCCACCCCCACCUGAUUUUUCAUACUUGCUAUCUGGUCACCCUACCUCCUCCCCUGCCCCACUUCUUUAUCUCUACAGGCUUGGGAAGUGGUCACAGAGGACUGCUUCUGAAACUGUCUUCUCCCUCCUGCCCUGGGAGGUGGGUGGAGGAUAAGGAGCUCCUGGAGCUCUAGGAGCAGAGGUGUGCUGGAGGACAAAGGCACAAAUGUGGGUCUGUGAGGACUGAAUUAAUGAUGGAGUGGGAGGUUAGAGCAGUUGUCAAGACUGGGAGCACAACAUUAAACAAUAUGGGAAUGAAAGGACACAGAAUUGGUGUGAGUCUAGGGAUGGACAGAGAUGGGGCUGGGGGAGGGGCACAUAAUUAAUUAUUUAGCAUUUUGGGGUUUGUGGAGAAGCUUGGAGUUUCACACCAUGAGGCAGUACUUCAUAUACAUUUGUGUAGUUUGGGCUCAGUUGGGUUUUCUAACAAGAGCUUCUGCAGUAGGGACCAAAAUCCCCUUACUCUGUCAAUUUGUGAGAGAUGGCAACACCAAGGUCCUGUCAGCAUUAGAAAGGAUUAGCCAGUAGAUCUGUACUGGCAAGCCCUCCUAGUGAAGGUGCAUUUUAUACUAGCAAAAUAAUUAUUUUUCCAGUAUAGCUUGUACCAGUUCCCCUAAUGAAAUAAGCUAUACUGGCAAGGCCAUAUAAAGUGUAAAAGCUGUCACUGAUGGGUGAGCUGGAGGAUUGUGGGAUUUCACUGGGAGGACUAACUGCAAGAUUGCAGCUAUUACACCAAUGCUUGCUGUAUGCUCUUUUCCUGCAAUGAUUCAGAGCAAAACACAGUGAAGGAUGACAUGCGCUUUAAUCUUGUCCAGAGCAAAUGCAAUCACAAUUGUAUGAACAUUUGUGAACUAAUAGAAGCACUUUUGUGUGAACACACAAUAUGUCAUCUAAGAAAAUGGGCCCUAAUUUGUCCCUAAUUGUGAAAUGAAGAAUGCCUGAUGAAAUGAUUCUUAGGGCACUCAGGAAGUCUAAAGAUGCAUUCAGCACCUUGUAAAAAUGGGCCCUGAUUUGCCAUUUUAUGAGAUUUCCAUUAAGUAUAAAGAAACAUAGUAUAUUAAAAUCUUUAUCAGUUUUCCAAGAUUAAACAUGAGAUACAUGAAGUGAUCUGACCAUCUUCAAUCUGAGAAAUAGCUCAGACAAUGUAGUUAGCCUAUUUAGGCUCUAUAUAAGAUCAGCAGUAAUGAAAGGAAAACUGUGUGAUGAAGUAUUAAAUUACUCAAGGAAGAUGAACCCUCUUUGUUUUUUAGUGGAAGUCUGUCUCAGCAGAGAAGGCAAGAAUUGGGAACAGUACUUCUCUUAUACACAUAGGGCUUAUCUCUACUGGUUGUAGCAAUGGUGCAAGCUCUAUAUAGACCAGCCUCUGGUGCCUGCUGGAAUUUUUAGCACUGUAUUGUCUAGACAUUCUCAGCAUAGGAACUGGGGGGUUUGUGGCCAGAGAAGCUUACAUAUUAAUUAGUCUUUAGACCAUUUUGAACUGCCAAAUGGCUUCAUGGGACUGCUCUGCUUACACUGAGGGCCAAGCCAGCUUUUGCACCAGCCCCAAAUUUGCCCCUUCUCUGUCCUGAGCUGCGCAGCUCAGAGUUAAGGCUGCUGUGAGACCUCUGGAAAGUCAUUUAACCUUACCAAACCUUAGAUUGUCAUCUUCAAAAUGAGUCUAAGAACACUUGCAUAUGUCUGAUCGUGUUGUGAGUCAUAACUAGUUUUGUAGUAAGCUGGGCUCCACAUGAGCACAAAUUAUUAUCACAACCAUGUUUUAAUGCACGGGUUCUUAAACUGGGGGUUGGGACCCUUCAGGGGGUCGCAAGGUUAUUACAUGGGGGGUUGCAAGCUGUCAGCCUCCACCUCAAACCCUGCUUUGCAUCCAGCACUUAUAAUGGUGUUAAAUAUAUAAAAAUGUAUAGGAGGGGUCCUACUCACAGGCUUGCUAUGUGAAAGGGGUCACCAGAACCACUGUUUUAAUGGAUGUUCAGUUUUAAGCUGGUUUUCUUAGGUUUAAUGUAAAUCAAAAUUUAAGAGAUUGUUACAACUGUAAAUAUUAACAUUAUUAAAUGCAAAACCAAAACCAA